rnacentral:rRNA from 1 species
UACAGAGGGUGCGAGCGUUAAUCAGAAUGACUGGGCGUAAAGGGUGUGUAGGUUGUUUAAUAAGUUAGGUGUGAAAGUCCUGGGCUUAACCUGGGGAGGUCGCUUAAGACUGUUAAGCUAGAGUACUGUAGAGGAAGGUGGAAUUUCCGGUGUAGCAGUGAAAUGCGUAGAUAUCGGAAGGAACAUCAGUGGCGAAGGCGACUUUCUGGACAGAUACUGACACUGAGACACGAAAGCGUGGGGAGCAAACAGG